AAUAAAAAAGAGAUACUUUUUUGUUGAUCAAAUCACACCUGAACAGAUUGGUGGUGGUGGACGGGGAUUGUAAAAAAAAAAAAAAGAUAGAGGGAGGAAGGUGGGUGAGAAAGACAGAAAAACUCCCAACAUGCAUACUGUCACUUGUCAUAUUGUAGCUGCUCCCGGUCAUAUCACCAAAAAAAAGGAAAAUGUAUCAUAUAUUUAUAUCUCCAAUAUAUUUAUUUAUAUUAAUUUGUACAAGGGGAGAAAGUGGAACCUCGGCGCUUGAAAGCGGAGAAAAUGCCACCAAAAUCCAGACCUGACCUUUAUUUUUUACUAAUAUAUAUAAAAACUGUACACAAAA